UGUAGCUCAGUUGGUAGAGCAUGGCGCUUGUAACGCCAGGGUAGUGGGUUUGAUUCCCGGGACCACCCAUACGUAGAAUGUAUGCACACAUGACUGUAAGUCGCUUUGGAUAAAAGCGUCUACUAAAUGGCAUAUAUUAUUAUAUUAUUAUUAUUAUUGAUAUGAUUUGUUCUACUGCUCCAUUGAUGUCUUUAAAAAGUAUAUGAAAUUCGGGUCUUGUAAGCCCCACUGCUUGAGUAUCCAUGCAUAUGGUGGGUGUUGCUGUACAUUGAUGUCUUUAAAAUUAGGUUUAUAAGAAAUUCAGAUUUGUAAGCCCCACAGCUAUACUAGAUUAUGUGGGCACAGUAUAUGUUUGAGACCAACGGCGUCACGUGACGGUGGCUGUGUGAGAAGCGUGCCAGUAUCUCUCGCAUAAAUAGAAUGAGAUUCACUUUCUAUGAUCUCUCUCCCUCUCUGCUCCGAAAGACAUAUGCCUGAACUCUCAUCUCGCAAGCGUUACACUUAAUACUUAGACUCUAUGCUGUAGGCACCCAAAAUAUUUGAUCAACUUCCAAAUUGUGUUUUACAAAAAAAAAAAAAAAAAGAGAGAGAAAUAGGCUUUUGGCAGGAGUGCAUCGUUCAUCGUCAGUGAGUGAACUCCCUGUCGUUGGGAGAAUCAGUGAAACACGUUUAGCGCUAUAAUAUCCUCCUCGUAUUGUAGCUGUUUGAUAGAUUCAAGACAAGGUUAUUUUUAUUGAUCUCAGGUUCUCAGUUUGUCAGUGUCAAAGUAGCUUGUCAUUUCCAUAAUUUGUGUGGUAUUACCAACGAUUCUGUCAACAUCUCCAGUCAUGUAAAAAUGUCGAAGAAUUGCGUUAUAAGUGUUUAUUUAAUAAAAAGGCCUUUCCCGGACAUUAUUCUGCAACUUCUGUAACUGCUCCGAUACCGAUACGCAAAAACCACGAUAUGAAUCAACUGCUUUUCAAUAAAAAGGGGGAGAAAUUAUGCAUUCCUUCACAACACCCCAGGAACUUUACAACACCCCAGGUUAAGCCCUUCACGUGCUCACUGUUUGAUCCGGCAACUGCCGAUCUACAACUGAUGCACAGAGAAAGAUGAAUCUGUAGCAGUUGUAAGGACAGUAACCAGUCCCAGUAUGGUGAAUCUAUACCAGUUAGUGGUUAGUAGACAGUAACCAGUCCCAGUAAGGUGAAUCUAUACCAGUUAGUAGACAGUAACCAGUCCCAGUAUGGUGAAUCUAUACCAGUUAGUAGAUAGUAACCAGUCCCAGUAUGGUGAAUCUAUACCAGUUAGUAGACAGUAACCAGUCCCAGUAAGGUGAAUCUAUACCAGUUAGUAGAUAGUAACCAGUCCCAGUAUGGUGAAUCUAUACCAGUUAGUAGACAGUAACCAGUCCCAGUAAGGUGAAUCUAUACCAGUUAGUGGUUAGUAGACAGUAACCAGUCCCAGUAAGGUGAAUCUAUACCAGUUAGUAGACAGUAACCAGUCCCAGUAUGGUGAAUCUAUACCAGUUAGUAGACAGUAACCAGUCCCAGUAAGGUGAAUCUAUACCAGUUAGUAGAUAGUAACCAGUCCCAGUAUGGUGAAUCUAUACCAGUUAGUAGACAGUAACCAGUCCCAGUAAGGUGAAUCUAUACCAGUUAGUGGUUAGUAGACAGUAACCAGUCCCAGUAAGGUGAAUCUAUACCAGUUAGUAGACAGUAACCAGUCCCAGUAUGGUGAAUCUAUACCAGUUAGUAGACAGUAACCAGUCCCAGUAAGGUGAAUCUAUACCAGUUAGUAGACAGUAACCAGUCCCAGUAUGGUGAAUCUAUACCAGUUAGUAGACAGUAACCAGUCCCAGUAAGGUGAAUCUAUACCAGU